UACGAAGGGGGCUAGCGUUGCUCGGAAUCACUGGGCGUAAAGCGCACGAGGCGGAUUGUUAAGUCAGGGGUGAAAUCCUGGAGCUCAACUCCAGAACUGCCUUUGAUACUGGCGAUCUCGAGUCCGGGAGAGGUGAGUGGAACUGCGAGUGUAGAGGUGAAAUUCGUAGAUAUUCGCAAGAACACCAGUGGCGAAGGCGGCUCACUGGCCCGGUACUGACGCUGAGGUGUGGAAAGCGUGGGGAGCAAAC
rnacentral:rRNA from 1 species